rnacentral:rRNA from 1 species
UACGUAGGUGGCAAGCGAUACUCGGAAUCACUAGGCGUAAAGCGCAGGUAGGAGGUUUGGAAAGUCUCUUGUGAAAGCUCCCGGCUUAACUGGGAGAGGUCAUGGGAAACUACCAGGCUAGAGUGCGGUAGAGGUAGCUGGAAUUCCCGGUGUAGCGGUGAAAUGCGUAGAUAUCGGGAGGAAUACCUAUGGCGAAAGCAGGCUACUGGACCGUCACUGACUCUGAUCUGCGAAAGCUAGGGGAGCAAACAGG